UAAUAUAAGUUCGAAGUCAUUAGUGUUCUUGAGAAGACAAGGCUACGGUAGCGCACCAUUUGGAAAGGACCUUGGCCAACUUUCAUGUGGAUCAGCAUUGAAGGACUUUUACCUUGGGGUCUUAUGGAGAACACCAACAUGUCACUUUUUUAUUUUGGUAAAAGUAUAAAAUUCUAUCCCUUUUGCAUGCUUGCUUUUGUUUUAUCGAUAUCGACAAGGUGAU
rnacentral:lncRNA from 1 species